GAAAUAGCUGAGGGUAAAAGUGGUACACAAGCGGCCGGAAGGAGAUGUCCUCUCUGUUAUCUCGUGCUCCGUGGAUCAUCAAUCCAUCAUCAUCACCAGGACUAAAAAUUAAUGGCGAAUAGUAUAGUAGCAGGGACGCCAUGGAUGAGAAUCAAGGUUAUCCCUGAAAUUUCGUUUCCCAUUCUACGUUCUCCAUCCUCCCUUUACAACCACAAAGUCUCUUUCCUUUUUCCAACUAGAAGACGAUUUUCAGCCUCUGCCAUUGCUAGUACUGAAAAAGAACAGGUUAGAGUCCGUUUUGCUCCCUCGCCUACUGGAAACCUCCAUGUUGGUGGUGCUAGAACUGCUCUCUUUAAUUAUCUCUUCGCCAGGUCUAAAGGUGGGAAAUUUGUGUUGAGGAUUGAGGAUACUGACUUGGAGAGGUCGACUAAAGAAUCCGAGGAGGCAGUGCUUCGGGAUCUUUCUUGGCUUGGUCUUGACUGGGAUGAAGGUCCUGGGGUUGGUGGAGACUAUGGUCCAUAUCGGCAAUCAGAGAGGAAUUCUCUCUAUAAGCAGCAUGCUGAGAAACUUGUAGAAUCUGGUCAUGUUUAUCGCUGCUUCUGCUCUAAUGAGGAACUUGAGCAAAUGAAGGAGAUUGCAAAAUUGAAGCAACUGCCUCCAGUAUACACAGGAAAGUGGGCUAAUGCAAUGGAUGAUGAAGUACAGGAAGAGCUGGGAAAGGGAACUCCAUACACGUAUAGAUUUCGUGUGCCUAAGGAAGGGCGUUUGACAAUUAAUGAUCUUAUUCGGGGCGAGGUUAGCUGGAAUUAUGACACACUUGGAGAUUUUGUGAUCAUGAGGAGCAAUGGACAACCUGUGUACAACUUUUGUGUCACUGUUGAUGAUGCUACCAUGGCUAUCUCACAUGUUAUUAGAGCUGAAGAGCAUUUACCAAAUACUCUCAGGCAAGCACUAAUAUACAAGGCCCUUGGAUUCUCCAUGCCUCACUUUGCACAUGUUUCUUUAAUUCUUGCACCUGACAGAAGUAAAUUAUCAAAACGACAUGGUGCAACUUCAGUGGGUCAGUACAGGGAGAUGGGUUAUCUGCCCGAGGCAAUGGUGAAUUACUUGGCACUUUUAGGUUGGGGUGAUGGAACAGAGAAUGAAUUUUUUACCCUCGAGCAACUUGUUGAAAAAUUCUCAAUUGGUCGUGUUAACAAAAGCGGCGCUGUUUUUGAUUCUACCAAGUUGAGGUGGAUGAAUGGCCAGCAUUUAAGAGCACUUCCAUCAGAUAAACUGAGCAAACUUGUUGGUGAACGCUGGAAAAGCAGUGGCAUUCUCGUAGAGUCAGAAGGACCAUUUAUAGAAGAGGCAGUUCUGCUUCUCAAGGAUGGGAUUGAGUUGGUAACUGAUUCAGACAAAGUGCUCUCAAAUUUGCUAUCAUAUCCCUUACAUGCUACUUUAUCAAGGACAGAGACUGGAGAUAUUGUCAACUUCCUGAAGGUAAAGUUAUGAUACAAAAUAAGCUUUGUGAGGUCUCAUCCGGGUUGUUAGCUGCAUAUGACAGUGGUGAACUCCUUAAUGCCCUGGAAGAAGGCCAUUCUGGUUGGCAGAAGUGGGUAAAGAAUUUUGGAAAAACAAUGAAGCUGAAGGGGAAAUCUCUCUUCAUGCCUCUCCGAGUGUUGCUAACCGGGAAACUCCACGGUCCUGACAUGGGCUCUAGCAUAAUCCUGCUCCAUCAAGCUGGAACUGGGGAUAUGGUUUCUUCCCAAGCUGAGUUUGUGACAUUGAAGGAGAGGUUUGGAGUACUGAGGGAAAUAGACUGGGAAGCACUGAACAAGGAUCAACCUCCUUUGGAACCCGCAGCUAUAGCAGCAAAUUGAGAGUCCCCAGUUUUGAUCUGCGAAUUUUGAACUCGAUUCUGUAGAUGCUUAAAAACCUUACCAUGUUUGAGUGAACGAUGUGUAUUGAAAAUGAAUGCGACGAGAAGAAAUCUGUGUGUUUAAUUGAGAAACGAACAUCCAUUUUUUAAUGACCCAAUAAUAAUUCUCACGAGCGUUCAUUCAUUAGA